AGAAAACCCUAAGCUUAUUCUAUUCAACAACAACCGCAUCUCUCUACUUUCUCUCUCUUUCUCCCCUCUUUCUCUCUGCCGCCGCCGCCGCCGCCGCCGCCGCCGCCGCCACCGCAACACCGGUUAUCGACCGAAAAAACAACGGCAACAUCAACCCCGACAACCUCCAAGUUGCGUCUCCGCUCCCCCACCACACUGUCGCCUGUCGGUCAACCGUCAAAUACCACAUCCCAAGACCACCGUCAAAUAUGGAACAAGCUCCUCAAGACACGGAAGCGGCUAGAGCUUCUUCUUGAGGAUCUUCCGUGUGACCAUGAUCCUUGGGAUUAUUAUGAAACAUCAGAUCAGCUUUUGGAACCACUGCUGCUGUGCUAUGACUCACUGAUGAAACCUGAUUAUAGUUGGAUAUAUCAACGAAAUAUUGAUAGUAGAAUGGGUGAGGCUGAGAAUGAGGAUGCGGAUGAUGAGUCGUAGUUUUUAGUCUUUUGUAUGUUUUGUAGUUUGAAUUUGGAACCUCGAUAAAUUUUGUAAAUAAUUUAAUUUUUAAUGUUUGUAUUCUUAUGGUGGUUGAUUGUAUAUUAAAUGAUUGGUGGA